AAGUCGUAACAAGGUUUCCGUAGGUGAACCUGCGGAAGGAUCAUCAACAAAUCCAAACCAAAAAAACCAAACACCUGUGUGAACAGUCUAAAAGAUAUUUUAUUACUAUUUUUUGAAUUUUCUCGGAAAGGAAAAAAAUUGUAAAUAAGGUAUCUUUUAAUUUUUCAAAACCCCUUUAUUUUUUCUUUUUUUGUGUGGUGAUGAAUCCUUUGUAGUUUUCUUUUAUUUUUAUAUUUUUUCUUCUUUCGAGAAGGGGAAAGAAAAAAACAAAAGAAAAAAACAUAAAUUUCAUUAUUUAAAAAAAACAACUUUUAACAAUGGAUCUCUUGGUUCUC
rnacentral:misc_RNA from 1 species